AUCCAAGCGUUAUCCGGAUUUACUGGGUUUAAAGGGUGCGUAGGCGGGCGCUUAAGUCAGCGGUGAAAGGCAGCGGCUCAACCGUUGAAUAGCCGUUGAAACUGGGCGCCUUGGAUUCGGUCGAGGCCGGCGGAAUGCGUGGUGUAGCGGUGAAAUGCUUAGAUAUCACGCGGAACGCCGAUUGCGAAGGCAGCUGGCCAGACCGAGAUCGACGCUGAGGCACGAAAGCGUGGGGAUCAAACAGGAUUAGAUACCCUGGUAGUCCACGCCGUAAACGAUGAUCACUGGAUGCCGGCGAUACACCGUCGGUGUCUGAGCGAAAGCAUUAAGUGAUCCACCUGGGGAGUACGAUCGCAAGGUUGAAACUCAAAGGAAUUGACGGGGGCCCGCACAAGCGGAGGAACAUGUGGUUUAAUUCGAUGAUACGCGAGGAACCUUACCUGGGCUAGAACGCCGAGCGCAUAUGGGGGAAACCCCAUAGCCAGCAAUGGCGGUCGGCGAGGUGCUGCAUGGUUGUCGUCAGCUCGUGCCGUGAGGUGUCGGGUUAAGUCCCAUAACGAGCGCAACCCCUACUGUUAGUUGCCAGCGGAUCAUGCCGGGGACUCUAACGGAACUGCCAGCGUAAGCUGUGAGGAAGGUGGGGAUGACGUCAAAUCAGCACGGCCCUUACGUCCAGGGCUACACACGUGUUACAAUGGCCGGUACAGAGGGCAGCCACCCCGCGAGGGGGCGCGAAUCCUCAAAGCCGGUCCCAGUUCGGAUCGGAGUCUGCAACCCGACUCCGUGAAGCUGGAUUCGCUAGUAAUCGCGCAUCAGCCACGGCGCGGUGAAUACGUUCCCGGGCCUUGCACACACCGCCCGU
rnacentral:rRNA from 1 species